rnacentral:tRNA from 1 species
CUUGAUUCUAGAUUGGUGGAUCAUUCAAGAAGUCUUGUGAAGAUGGCUCAGGUGGUCCCCUUAUAAUCUCCAAAGGUUCGAGAUCUUUUGACUCAAGU